CACAUUAGAUGCUUUUUGUCCUUGUUAUGUAUAAUUUGGUAUUCAUCUUUGUUCUCCUUUUACUUUCUUUCUGUCACCACCCAAACUAAAUAGUGGUAGUCAUAAUCUUUUUUUAAUACUAUUCUUGUCCAUUUUUCUCUGUCCCAGGUGCCAGCAAGUGUUGAUGUGGAUAUUUCGGCCCGAUACCAAAGAAAAACUCAAACAGAGAAAGAGUUAUUCCUUUGAUGCUCACUAAACUGGGCUCUUACUCGAUAUGUUCAGCCAAUAUGUACCUGUGGCCAAGAAGCGAUGCGUCGCCAGCAACAAUUGUGACUUGAUGAUUUCUUCAAUGACGUCCUCCAGGGUGACGAUGCCCAUCACCUCGUAGAAGGGGUCACCCUCGCCCUCGUU